rnacentral:tRNA from 1 species
GGGUGCAUAGCUCAGCCUGGUAGAGCACCUGCCUUUUAAGCAGAGGGUCGUAGGUUCGAAUCCUACUGCACCCACCA